rnacentral:rRNA from 1 species
UACCCAACAACUAGCCCCUCCCCCCCAAAUCCAACAACCUACAUUAAUACCCCCUAAUACACAAAAUUAAGAUAAGCAAACCAUUUUUCCCCCAAAGUAUCGGCGACAGAAAAG